rnacentral:rRNA from 1 species
GUUGUAUGGUUAAGUGACUAAGCGUACACGGUGGAUGCCUUGGCAGUCAGAGGCGAUGAAGGACGUGCUAACCUGCGAAAAGCUGUGAGAAGUCGGUAAGAGACGUUAGACUCACAGAUGUCCGAAUGGGGAAACCCACCUGAUUUAUCAGGUAUCGUAUGAUGAAUACAUAGUCAUACGAGGCGAACCGGGAGAACUGAAACAUCUAAGUACCCCGAGGAAAAGAAAUCAACCGAGAUCCCCUUAGUAGCGGCGAGCGAACGGGGGCUAGCCCUUAAGUUGAUAAAGAGUUAGUGGAACGCUCUGGAAAGUGCGGCGAUACAGGGUGAUAGCCCCGUACACGAAAAGGCUUUAUCAAUGAAAACGAGUAGGACGGGACACGUGGUAUCCUGUUUGAACAUGGGGGGACCAUCCUCCAAGGCUAAAUACUCCUGACUGACCGAUAGUGAACCAGUACCGUGAGGGAAAGGCGAAAAGAACCCCUGUUAGGGGAGUGAAAUAGAACCUGAAACCGUGUACGUACAAGCAGUGGGAGCCCCUUCGUGGGGUGACUGCGUACCUUUUGUAUAAUGGGUCAGCGACUUACAUUCUGUAGCGAGGUUAACCGAAUAGGGGAGCCGUAGGGAAACCGAGUCUUAACUGGGCGAAUAGUUGCAGGGUGUAGACCCGAAACCGGGCGAUCUAUCCAUGAGCAGGUUGAAGGUUGGGUAACACUAACUGGAGGACCGAACCCACAAAUGUUGAAAAAUUUGGGGAUGACUUGUGGAUCGGAGUGAAAGGCUAAUCAAGCUCGGAGAUAUCUGGUUCUCCUCGAAAGCUAUUUAGGUAGCGCCUCGAGCGAAUACCAUUGGGGGUAGAGCACUGUUAAGGCUAGGGGGUCAUCCCGACUUACCAACCCUUUGCAAACUCCGAAUACCAAUGAGUACUACUCGGGAGACACACGACGGGUGCUAACGUCCGCCGUGAAAAGGGAAACAACCCAGACCACCAGCUAAGGUCCCAAAGUCAUGGUUAAGUGGAAAACGAUGUGGAAAGGCAUAGACAGCUAGGAGGUUGGCUUAGAAGCAGCCACCCUUUAAAGAAAGCGUAAUAGCUCACUAGUCGAGUCGGUCUGCGCGGAAGAUGUAACGGGGCUAAACCAUGCACCGAAGCUGUGGACUUGCACUAUGUGCAAGUGGUAGAGGAGCGUUCUGUAAGCCGUUGAAGGUGACUCGUGAGGGUUGCUGGAGGUAUCAGAAGUGCGAAUGCUGACAUAAGUAACGAUAAGGGGAGUGAAAAACUUCCCCGCCGGAAGACCAAGGGUUCCUAUCCCAUGCUAAUCAGGGUAGGGUAAGUCGGCCCCUAAGGCGAGGGCGAAAGCCGUAGUCGAUGGGAAACGGGUUAAUAUUCCCGUACCGACAAUACUGCGAUGGGGGGACGGAGAAAGCUAGGCAGGCAUGGCGUUGGUAGUCCAUGUGAAAGUGCGUAGGAAGGGGGAUUAGGCAAAUCCGGUUCCCUAUAUUCUGAGACACGAGACGAGCCACUACGGUGGUGAAGCUGUUGACGCUACGCUUCCAGGAAAAUCCUCUAAGCUUCAGGUAUUGUCGACCGUACUCGAAACCGACACAGGUGGUCAGGUAGAGCAUACCAAGGCGCUUGAGAGAACUCUGGUGAAGGAACUAGGCAAAAUAGUACCGUAACUUCGGGAGAAGGUACGCUCUUGUGGGUGAAGGACUUGCUCCGUAAGCCUAUGAGAGUCGCAGUGACCAGCUGGCUGCAACUGUUUAUUAAAAACACAGCACUCUGCAAACUCGUAAGAGGACGUAUAGGGUGUGACACCUGCCCGGUGCCGGAAGGUUAAUUGAUGGGGUUAGCGCAAGCGAAGCUCUUGAUCGAAGCCCCGGUAAACGGCGGCCGUAACUAUAACGGUCCUAAGGUAGCGAAAUUCCUUGUCGGGUAAGUUCCGACCUGCACGAAUGGUGUAAUGAUGGCCAGGCUGUCUCCACCAGAGACUCAGUGAAAUUGAAAUUGCGGUGAAGAUGCCGUAUACCCGCGGCUAGACGGAAAGACCCCGUGAACCUUUACUAUAGCUUGGCACUGAACAUUGACCCUACAUGUGUAGGAUAGGUGGGAGACUUUGAAGUUGGAACGCCAGUUCUGAUGGAGUCGUCCUUGAAAUACCACCCUUGUAUGUUUGAUGUUCUAACGUAGGCCCCUAAUCGGGGUUGCGGACAGUGUCUGGUGGGUAGUUUGACUGGGGCGGUCUCCUCCUAAAGAGUAACGGAGGAGCACGAAGGUUGGCUAAGUACGGUCGGACAUCGUACGGUUAGUGCAAAGGCAGAAGCCAGCUUAACUGCGAGACAGACACGUCGAGCAGGUACGAAAGUAGGUCUUAGUGAUCCGGUGGUUCUGUAUGGAAGGGCCAUCGCUCAACGGAUAAAAGGUACUCCGGGGAUAACAGGCUGAUACCGCCCAAGAGUUCAUAUCGACGGCGGUGUUUGGCACCUCGAUGUCGGCUCAUCACAUCCUGGGGCUGAAGUCGGUCCCAAGGGUAUGGCUGUUCGCCAUUUAAAGUGGUACGCGAGCUGGGUUUAGAACGUCGUGAGACAGUUCGGUCCCUAUCUGCCGUGGGCGUUGGAUGAUUGAUUGGAGUUGUUCCUAGUACGAGAGGACCGGAAUGAACGAACCGCUGGUGUUCGGGUUGUCAUGCCAAUGGCACUGCCCGGUAGCUACGUUCGGAACGGAUAACCGCUGAAAGCAUCUAAGCGGGAAGCCGGCCAAGAGAUGAGUCAUCCCUUGUACCUUGAGUACACAUAAGGGUCGUUGGAGACCACAACGUUGAUAGGUGAGGUGUGGAAGCGCAGUGAUGUGUUAAGCUAACUCAUACUAAUUGCCCGAGAGGCUUAACCAUACAACGCCCAAGGUGUU